rfam:Solanum tuberosum cultivar DM 1-3 516 R44 scf00857_6, whole genome shotgun sequence.
GAGAGCGCAGUACAACGGAGAGUUGUAUGCAGCGUUCGGGAAGGAUGAAUCGCUCCCAAAAAGGAAUCUAUUGAUUCUCUCCUAAUUGGUUGGACCGUAGGUGCGAUGAUUUACUUCAC